UUCUCCUGGUCUCAUAGACUGCAGAGACGUCACUGAUGAUGAACUCACUAGGAACUGAUGGGAUGGUGAACAUAGAAACUUCCUUGCAUUUUCAAGUGUCUUGAAGCGCCCUUCAUUCUGACUCCACUUGUCUGGAAUAGGUGGAGGAGGACCCAAAGGGCAGGAGACCGGGCUUGGAGGCAGAACCUUCAAACAUUUAAUAAAGAAACUGAAACAUGAACAAAAACAUGAGAUCAAGAAAGGAGUGACAAAACAGAUCAGAUGAUCUGAUAAGGAAGAAGUGAAAAGCAGACACUGAAAUAGACUGAAGGUUGAGAUACUGCAGAUUGUCAAAGAUCAGCUGUGCUGCUCUGAUCACAACUCUGAAUUUAAACCCGUCCCACCUGACAGAACUGGACCUGGAAUGCAACAACCUUCAGUCUUCAGAUGUUCAGCAGCUCCAGGAUCUGGUGGAGAGUCCAAACUUCAAACUGCAGACUCUGAGAUGGGAGGGAGAAGCUAUUUUCCUUUUCAAAUGAUCAACCAGAGAGAAUCAUCAUCAUCAUCAUCUGGUCUGCAGAGAUGGUUUUCCUGGAGGUGGAGAGCAGAGUGAUGGAGGAAUCAGAGGAAGUGGAGAUGAGUGUGUGAGUUGCACUAUCUCUCUCAGCAUCAAGUGGACAGUUAUUGUGCUGCAGCUCCCCCGGUGGACUGAUGGAGAACUGCACUUCAUCUUCUCAUUCUAACUUGGAGUGUUGGGAAGUCUUCUGCUUUUCUUCUCUCUCGUAUUUGGAGCUUCUUUUAACUUUGUCCACACACUCUUGCUGUAGUUUUCUCCUCAAGUGUCCUGAAACUGUUUCUCUGAAUGAUCUGUGUUGGUGAUUCAUCAGAUUCAGACAUGAUGGUUUCCUGCAGAAGCUCAGAAGUCUUUUCUGGUGUUUCUUGGACUCCUGCACGUCUCUGUACCACAGAGUGGACCAGCAUUCUCUGAACAUCCUUCAGCUGGUCCAGAAAGCAGCAGCAUGGCUGUUGACCAGAGAAAGAAAACCUUCCAGCAGUUCUGGCCUCAGGAUUCUCCAUCUGGGAGCAUUUUGGUUCUUCUUUUUCAUCUUUAUCAGACCUUUCAGAACCACAAAGUGGACUCAGUUCCUCUGAGUAAAGGCUGCUGGGUUUUGUAUUUUGUUCAUUAUUUUACAGGAUGUUGUUCUAUUGUAACCAUGGUAACCGUGGGAACCACACUCCUGUUUACUCUGAGUCCUGAAGCAGAAAUCCCACCAGAACUAACAAAAGUCUCUCAGUUGAAUCAUUUUUAUAUCAUCUCUGUUCUGUUGAUGAUAAAAUAUUGACUCAUGCAGUUUGAAAGACUCAGAGUUUUAGUUUGAUGUUUUCUACAGUUUUAUGAUUGAACUUCCUUUUUCUUUGGUGUUUUCUGGGUAAAACUCUGUUCUUUUUCAUGCUGACAACAUUUUAGCUGAAGUUUUAAAGAAGUUUCAUCUAAAUCCAGUAGAAUCUGAUCAUUUUCUAGAAAGUCUGAAACUAGUAGAAACUUUCUGAGCAUAAAGCCUGUUUUCUCCAGAGGACAUGAAUGAACAGAGUGGAUGUUAGUGAGGAAUGACAGAGAAUCACUUUGAUGCAGCUGCUUCAACAACACUAACUGCAUUGAAGCAGGAGGGAGAAGGGAGACACCUGCUGGCUGUUUCCAGAACUGCAUCUUAGUGUCUAAAGGUUCAAACUGAAAGCUGUCUGUCAAAUUCCUGCAGCCUGUUUGGAUCUAAUAAAUGCUCUUUUGAAUCAA